CAGUGGCGUACGGGUGAGUAACACGUGGAUUAUCUGCCCUGGAGUGGGGAAUAACGCUGGGAAACCGGCGCUAAUACCGCAUAUUCCCGAGAGGGGAAAGCAGCAAUGCGCUCGAGGAGGAGUCCGCGGCUGAUUAGCUAGUUGGUAGGGUAACGGCCUACCAAGGCUGUGAUCGGUAGCCGGCCUGAGAGGGCACACGGCCACACUGGCACUGAAACACGGGCCAGACUCCUACGGGAGGCAGCAGUGGGGAAUCUUGCACAAUGGGGGCAACCCUGAUGCAGCGACGCCGCGUGAGCGAUGAAGCCCUUCGGGGUGUAAAGCUCUUUCGGCAGGGAAGAUGAUGACGGUACCUGCAGAAGCAGCUGCGGCUAACUACGUGCCAGCAGCCGCGGUAAUACGUAGGCAGCAAGCGUUGUUCGGAGUUACUGGGCGUAAAGGGUGUGUAGGCGGCCUUCUAAGUUUGGUGUGAAAUCUCCCGGCUCAACCGGGAGGGUGCGCCGAAGACUGGGGGGCUAGAGUGCGGGAUGGGAGAGUAGAAUUCCUGGUGUAGCGGUGAAAUGCGUAGAUAUCAGGAGGAAUACCUGUGGUGUAGACGGCUCUCUGGACCGCAAC
rnacentral:rRNA from 1 species